rnacentral:piRNA from 1 species
UGGGUGAACGAGCUCCUUGUCUCCCAAGC